rnacentral:rRNA from 1 species
CCUACGGGGGGCUGCAGUAGGGAAUCUUCCGCAAUGGACGAAAGUCUGACGGAGCAACGCCGCGUGAGCGAAGAAGGUCUUCGGAUCGUAAAGCACUGUUGUUAGGGAAGAACAAGUGCGGAAGGAAAUGACCGUACCUUGACGGUACCUAACGAGGAAGCCACGGCUAACUACGUGCCAGCAGCCGCGGUCAUACGUAGGUGGCAAGCGUUGUCCGGAAUUAUUGGGCGUAAAGCGCGCGCAGGCGGUGUUUUAAGUCUGAUGUGAAAUCUUGCGGCUCAACCGCAAGCGGUCAUUGGAAACUGGGAGGCUUGAGUGCAGGAGAGGAGAGCGGAAUUCUACGUGUAGCGGUGAGAUGCGUAGAGAUGUGGAGGAACAGCAGUGGCGACGGCGGUUUUCUGGUCUGUAACUGACGCUGGGGCGCGAAAGCGUGGGGAGCAAACAGGAUUAGAUACCCGUGUAGUC